rnacentral:tRNA from 1 species
GCCUCCUUAGCUCAGCUGGUAGAGCAACUGUCUUGUAAACAGUAGGUCGUCGGUUCGAAUCCGGCAGGGGGCUCCA